rnacentral:rRNA from 1 species
UCAGGACGAACGCUGGCGGCACGCUUAACACAUGCAAGUCGAACGGAGAAUAUUGAGUUACUUAGAUAUUCUAGUGGCGGACGGGUGAGUAACACGUGAGCAACCUGCCUCUGAGAGGGGGAUAGCUUCUGGAAACGGAUGGUAAUACCCCAUAACAUAGUCUGAAGACAUCUUUAGACUAUCAAAGAUUUAUCGCUCAGAGAUGGGCUCGCGUCUGAUUAGCUAGUUGGUGAGGUAACGGCCCACCAAGGCGACGAUCAGUAGCCGGACUGAGAGGUUGAACGGCCACAUUGGGACUGAGACACGGCCCAGACUCCUACGGGAGGCAGCAGUGGGGAAUAUUGCACAAUGGGGGAAACCCUGAUGCAGCGAUGCCGCGUGGAGGAAGAAGGUUUUCGGAUUGUAAACUCCUGUCUUAAAGGACGAUAAUGACGGUACUUUAGGAGGAAGCUCCGGCUAACUACGUGCCAGCAGCCGC